AUCCAAGUACAAUCCAAGCAAGCAUCCCCUAUAAAAGCUCACCGCCUGUCAAAAUCCACGCGACUCGCACACCAACGAAACGGCAAAACUCCAACGUCUUCGUCAGUCCUCAGCGGUCAGUCAAGCGAACAAGACAAACUGCGCUCGUGGUGAUCUGGUUAGUGUAGUGGAGAAAAAAGAAAAGUCGAAUUGCAGAGUUCAUAAUCGCUCAAUCACCGUCGUCAUCAGCAGCAAAAGGAAAAACUCGGCUGAUUUCUGUUUCAAGUCGAAGAUUCAAAACCGACCGAGUGUUGUUUGGCUUUUUUUUCGCUGCAAAUAAUCAAGCUUCGCGUUCUUAUCAACAACUUGUCUUGACUGACUGCCGUCGUACCCGCCGCGUGAGGAACAAGGCAGAAAGGAAUUUUUAUAAAAGCGGUCAGCUGGUGCCGAACGGAUCUCAUUUGCUCGGCUGGAAUCGUCCCGUCUGGAAGUGUCGUGUGCGGCGUGAAAACUCUCCCCCCAUCCGGUAGGUUGUAGUGUACUACCACGACAAUCGCUUGGAAGUGAACGAAGAAAGUGUGUGUGCUUCGGUGUCGUUUGAAUAUCGCAAGUGCUGGGAGGAUUUUGAGGAAGAUUUUUCGGUGAAGUCAAGAUUGGAAGCAGCUUGAAAUUGACACAAUCGCCAGUAUGGAGCAAGUCAACGGAAGCGCGCAGAAGGAAGUUCGAGUUUGGUGCGAUGGAUGCUAUGACAUGGUGCACUUUGGUCACGCCAACUCGCUGCGGCAGGCAAAAGCUCUCGGCCACAAACUGGUUGUAGGCAUUCACAACGAUGCAGACAUCUCCAAAAACAAAGGUCCCCCGGUGUUUACCCAGGAAGAACGGUA